GGGAGGCCCAAGCAGCGAGCACAUGCCAUAACCUGCUGGAGGGGCAGGUCCUGGCUCCACACUUCACACGUGAGAUAAAAUGUAAGCUCAUACCAACCUCUGAGCACAAGCAAACGGAUGCAGCGCAUCAGCCAGGUGGGUACUCCUAUACUAAUUACUGUGUUUGCGUAUCAGCUUAUGUUCUUUGUGUCACACUAUAAGAACUUAGGAAAUGUGUGCCACUGUGGUUGGAGGUGGUUGUCUCUCAGCGAAGAUGUGAGAACCCUAUGGGCAUGUAUGGCAAAUGCAAAAUGAAAUGGGUUAGUUCCUUUCACGUCUGAAAGUCAUCUUGCUUUGCAGUUCAAGAGACUGAGAGCUUACAUGCGGCCAGUGACUCUGUCCCAGCUAAAAUAUACUUCUCUGCUGAGAAGUGGUAACAUUUCCAGCCAUUCUAAUGUGGUUAUAAGGAUAAGUCUGGUCAUGCCCUCAUAUGUCUCUCUUUGCUUUAUCUGGUUAAGGCAGUGCCCCUUUCAGAAUGAAGGCAAGCAAUGUGACAUUUCAGGUACUACAGCAAUCUUAAUUGCAAGUCAUUCUAGUAGCGGAGGUGACUAAUGUAAUAAAUACGCACACAUGCAUCGAUACAGACAGCACUCAUUGCAAAAAUGACUGCCAGUCAUUUCUCUAACCAGAAUGUACUAUGAUGUGUACUCUGCUGUUGAAGUUUUAGUGGUGCUUCUGAAUGCCAUACAGCUGGGCCCCACUCUUAAAAAUAGCAGCGAGAUAUGAAUAAGUGCUGUUUGGUUCAGCAGGAAAGAAGAAAACAUCACCUCAGUAGGAACAGAUGAGUCUGGUUAGGUUUUAUGUCUCUUGCUGAAAAACUGCAAAGGAAUAGCUGUAUUUCACAGUGAAAAUUGCAUUUAAUUGAAAGCAAAACAUUCAAGCACCCAAAAGAGAAGUGAGAAGAAGGGAUCCCACUCACAGGGGGAUAGUGGAGCUGAGAGGCUGUCCCUCUAGUCUGGUGGCCAACGGGGCACAGUCCUGUGAGGUUCUGGGGAAGGAGUGGGCUCAAUGAGUGAAAGAUGCUAACACGACCCAGACACUCUGCAACAUUAAACACUUAAAAAGGUUUGGGGUUUUGAAUACAGAGACCUCAGCCUACUUGGUUACCAUGGCAAACAAUCACCAAUAGAAGUCUUUUAAUCUUUAAUUAAAGAUACACAAAAAAGGAGAAAAAACAGUUUAAGCACUUGAAAAAUAAGACUUUAUGCUUUAAAAGUGUCCAUUAUCCCUCUUCCCUUAGCUGUCAACAGUUUUUGUAGCAGUGCUUCCCUCCCUUUAUUUAAGGUCAUAGCAGCACUCACUGUUUUUUGGGAGACACUCAUUGAGAUAGACUGGAUCUGCUGUUAGUACUCAUUUUGGGAUUCUGCUUUGCUCAUUUGAAGACACAGGCAUGCAGGAGGGGAGAGGAAAGGAGAGCAAAGACAAAAAUUAUUACUUCCUCUUCAGGUGUUGACUUUUACUUGCAGCCUCACUGCUAGAAAAAGACAAGCACAACACAUGGACUUAUCAGCCCCUCUCUGAUCAAGGGGAUUUAUAUCAGCGUCUGUCUCAUUUAGACAUUGCUUUUGGUUGUCUCCUUGAUUGCAGUUCACAGCUGUGUUGUACAACCCGUACCCUCCUAUCUAGGAUAGUUUGAUUAAAAGGAAGGUAAAAGAAAGAAAAGGCAGAGAAGCAUGUGAAAAGACUGCAAAGCUACUGAGAGAAGGGUGGCUUCAGGACCCCAAGUCUUCCCUUCCAAGUGGGUUUCCAGGACUGCACUGAAAUUGGUGGACAUAGCGAUGACUCCCAUGUAUCUCCUCACCAGAAACUCACCAGAAGGUCUGACCAGAUCAAGUAAGUGUAGAAUCAUAGAAUCACAAAGGUUGAAAAACACCCACAGGAUCAUCCAGUCCAACCAUUCACCUGUCACCAGUGGUUCUCACUAAACCAUGUCCUUCAACACAACGUCCAAAUGUUCCUUGAAAUACCAACAGUGUCACAGCAGAGACUUAGAUCUCGAAGUUGACAACGACAGCUGUCAGCAUUUCUCCUUUCUGUCCACCUAUUCUAGGAUCAGUAUCAAAAUGGAUGUACCCCAGAGGAUGAUGUACAUGCCACCAGUCACCAGUUGGCUUUAGCUCCUGGCACAUGAGUUUUGGUCCAUUGAUUUUGGCAUUUAUCUUGUACAUCAGGCCUGAUGUCAGCACAGUCCUUGGUUAAUAUUAGGAAGACUUUCUGAUUGAACUAAUUUGGUCUUCCCAUCUUUAACUUGUGCUGACUUCUCCAAGUAAUUUUCUCCAGCAGACUGAGCUGCACUUUCUCACCUCUGUGAACUUUAGCACAUGCGUUUGCCUGAUGUGCUCGCGUAGGAUGUUCAAUGCCCUCUUCUGCUUCCCUGUCUACCCUUCUUCUUUUCCAGGAGAAUACCACAGUCACAAGAGCAGGGGUACCCUGGGAGAGGCUCUGCCAAUGGCACUUUCAUAUUCCUUAGUAGCGCAGUACUCAUUAGCACAGACUGGGGAAGCCAGGUGAAUUGUGUCCAUGAGUGUCUCUACUGGGGUCUGGAAAGACCUUCCGCACAGAUCAGGACACAUAAGUGGUGAGGAGUAAGAACAACCCACCUUAGUAUGCAGCACAGCACAACCUUAUGGCAUUCUCUUGGGAGAUAAGUGAUGCUGGUUCUAGUUCCCCCAGGCAGAGGAGGAAAUUAAACCCAGGACUCCCACAUCCUUUAUGAGCGAAUAAAAAGUGGCUGUCUUCCUCUCAGCUUUGUGAAUAUAAUCGUGAUAUUUUCUUCCGGGGAAUCAAUUUGGUAAGUCCACGCUGAAUUCAACAAUCAUUUUGGGACAAUGGAAAAAAAAGCAAACAUUUUUCAAUGAGAAGGAUGCUGGCUAAAAAAACAUUCUAUUGACUGUAGUGGCAGUACAACAACCAGACAGACCCCAUCACUCUGCCACUUUAUAUCCAGCAGCUGUAGGACAGGAAACUCUCAUACUUGCAGACAGCGGAGGAACUUACCUGGCAAUGUGAAAUCUUGCUAGGAAAAAAGGGUUGUGCGGGAGUAAUGAAAUCCUCUGGGAAUGGCAGAUGAAACCUGAACACCGGUGGGACUGCCUUGAGUUCUGACACAAUUACCACAGUGCAUAAGAAAAACCUGCAAAGAACAGGCUCACUCCGAGGGCUGAGAUGUGACCAGUGUCCCAGUUAUUAUUAGCUACUAAAGGUCUGAAAAGGUUCAAACUCCAUCUUUGUAGGAAUUCAAACAGAGGGAUGCAUGAGGCCUUGCUGACGGCUUCCAGACUGAAAAAGAAAGCGGAGGGAAAAGGGGCAUUUCUCUGACCUUCCUCGGUGAUUGCUCAGAACUGUGUCUACUGAUGGCCGUGUCCAACACCGACAAGAAGAGGCAAGAGAAGUCAAAAUCUGAGGAGUGAGAUGUUCUGCUAGCACAGAAAAGCCACCUGGAGAAACAAAAACAAAUGUCACACAGCUGCGAGUGGGAGAAAUGCUAUUGUUUUCCUGGUAGCCCGUCCUUCCAGUCUUCUGAGAGAAGCGGGUACAAAGGAGGGGGAAUUGUUACAGUUACUGUGGUAACACAACUGGAGAACCAGCCUAAGAGUGAAGAGACUCAGGACAACAGAAUGAAUCGAUCGCGUUGUACCAUGAAGCAGAUGGUCCUGAUGAAGGGGAAGGAGGAUUUGACCCUCACUGAGUGAAGGAGUUGCUGAUUUAGUCAAGUCAAGAACAGGAUGCGACGCUUUGGUCUAGUGCAUUGACAUUUGCAUCUCUGAGUGAGAAUGCUUAUUUUCAUUGGAGGAACAGCAAGACUGCCUUUUGAAACAUUUAAAGAGAGUCGGAAACUGUGUAGCUGUGAGGCCUUGAUUGGAGGGAGCAAGUCCACUGAAGUGUGCUCUUCCUACAACAACUUGACUGCUGGAGAGUGGGCACAGAAGAGUUUGAGUCUACAGCAAUUACUUGUGUGAGUAAUCCCUGAGUAAUUCCGAGAGGAUUUACCUGUCUGACUAAGGGCCCUCAGAAUAUCACCAAACCCUUCGAUAUAUACUCUGAAAACAUAUUUGGCCCAUUGCUUCCUCAAGGACUUUCAAGGGCACAAGAGGAGGUUUACCUUAAUUAACAUCCCUUCAACAUUGUAGACAAUGGGUUCAUCUCUUGGCUAUACAACAGAGGAAUGUUGAAAACAAUAUCUGUUCAUCGUGAAAUCAUGUUCUCCCAGCUACCUGCUACAGAGGUGAAAGCAGGCACUGUCAAAUACCACUGAAGAAAUUUAAUCUUUCCCUGCUAGCAAAUUCUGAAAAGGCAAAUAACAUUUUCAUAGUUUGUUUACUCAUUUGUUCCUUAAAAGAGGCAAAGGAAUCUGUGAAUCAGAAGAAUUUCCAUCUCAAAAAUUGCUUUGGCAACCAGUGGCUUGUAAUUUAAGAUUAAGUGAUUGAAUUUCAUGCAGCCUUGCUUAAAAUUCACUACUCCACAUGCUGUCACCACACAUUUUUUAAAAAAAAUCUAACAAGAAACCCCAAACAUCUAUAACGUUACUACAAGUCAGUCAAAAAAUGUCCAAUCAUCUGGGAGGUGACAAAACGUGCUUAAUGAAGAUGUAGUCUGCAUGACUGCUGGAUUUUUCCCCUUGUAGCGUUCACAGCCUAUCAGAGAGUUCCCAUUCCCAUGCAGUGCUGGUGCUGGGCUCACUUCAAUCAGGCUGCACAAAUCAGUGGAGCAGAAAUGCCUCUUUCCCUCCAUCACCUGAAGCCAAUGCUGAUUCAUCCGUUCAGACCCAUUCCUUCUGCCACUCCUCUGAGUUUACUGAUUGCUGAUUCAUUUUUCCCCCUCCUUUUUUUCCCCCACCUCGUACUAAGCAUCCCGUGUUGAGUUCAACACACUUCGUUUCCAGGUCUGACUGAAAGGGAAUAUGGAAAUUAAUUGGCUCAGACUGCUAGCAGCCUUUUGCACGUGCCUGUACUCCGUGAGAGGUGCAGUGCAAUUGCCUUUCCACUGUAGCUCCUUAUCAGCCACCUGUCUCCUUGCGUGUGUUUCCUUGGCUGCUCUCAGUCUGGGUGCUGGAGAUGGAUGUCCCCUUCCUCUCCCUGUUCUGCAAAAGGGAGGGCAGCUGGCAGGGCUGUCCUUGUGAGGGCUGAAGCUGUCCUCGUUUGACUUAAAAUAGGACAGAUUUAGUGAAUUCUCCAGCUUGUGGUAAAUAGCGUGUGACUGGUGCUUUGGUGAGGGCUGCAGAGAUGCUGUACAGCACAGUGGAACUUCUGCUGAAAUGUUUAUUUGUUGUCUCUGCUGGACGCAGGUCCUGGCUGAAAGAAAGCAGCUGAGGUAUGUCCCUUGGCCAUGAGAGGAGGGUACCAGGAUCCUUGCAAGUUGGAAUACAAUCUGGCUCUGCAGCUACGCUCCAUCUCAAACAUUUUCAUGCCUAGGUUUCUAUCUUCCAUUGGUUUCAUACUGAAUUUUCUCAUGGAGCUUCCUCCCGACUGCAGAGAAUUUGGGUUUCCCUGGUGAAGUCUCCCUGUGUCUUUGAUGCUGGAGUGCUGUUGCUAGCAUUGCAGAAGUCCCACUGUCCCAUGCAGAGCACUGUACAGGUAUUUUUUUGAGGAGCUGCCCCACAUUCCUGUGGAGCUUUUCCAUCUCUGUGAAAAAAAGCUGGGGAGAAGGGAGGCCUUAUCUCCAUGUUGUGCAUGGGUGAGGUCCGAAAAAGGGCUAGGCGGGACAGAGAGGCCAGGAGCACAUAUAUAGGAGGGGACAGGAGUGGAGGCCCACAGCUUGGAGACACACAACCGCCGGAGGGCUCUGGGAGUGCCCCAGCACUUGCUAGGGGGCAGCGGGCUCCUUUGAAGAGUGAGUGGUGCAAGACCCAGCCUGACUCAGUCACCCUUGGCAUCAUCCCUUGCAUCCUCAUUUCUGCAGGCUGAUGGUGUGUGCCUUGCUAGGGCCCUGGGCUUCUACUCAUUCAUGUUUGUAGGAACCCGGAGGAUGACUCAGAUUAUUACAGCACUGUAGAUCUGAUGCUGUCUGUGAUGUCUCUGGCAUGAUGCCCAUCUUUCCCUUCUGUGUUUGAACAAUCUCUUGCUCAAGGAGCCCUGGCCUGAUAGAAGGACUACCUCCUAUUAUUAACACAGUAGCAAGAAAUGAAAGGGCAGGCACAUUUGUAUGUGGUAUAAUUUAUGCAGAAGACAUGAUCUCAGGCACAGUGGAUGACAAAACCAAACGAGAAACUUUUCUUCUAGUUUUAUCACAGUUUCUCCCAGAACCUCUGCUGUAUGCAUUCUGGAAAUUUACAGGAUGAAGGAUUUUGUCAUGAUAUCUAGUUCUAAUCUGAAGUGAUUUACUGUUAAGUUGAAAAUCAAGCCUGUACGUAUCCCCCUCCAAGUGGUUUCUAUGACAGUUUCUAUUAACCAUAAAAAUGUCACUUGCUAGGAAGUAUCAGCCUUCUUGUAGGCUUUGCAAUCAUUGCUACCAGAUGCACACUUACUGAAUGGAAUAAAUAUUCUUGUACAAUUAGCCUGGCAUGCAGGACAUGUCUGGCUAUCUCUCUUGCCUCCAAAGUGAAGUUUUCAAAAGCAAACCCGUAUAUCAAGAGAUGAGAUCUAUCUGGAUUUUCUGAAGUUCUUCAGAUCUUGCAGUGUUAUGAUGCUUUAUGGAUAAAGCAUGGUGGUGUGUAAACUUAGGCUAAGUUUUCUUCAUUUUAAUCUGUAUAAGCAACUGAAAUAUUCAUUUUUCAUUGUUUUGAUCAAGUGGAAAAAAAUAUUUGAUGUCUAUUCUGUGAUUUAAAAUGUAUUUUGAAAUACACUAAUGGCUCUGUGGCAUUUCCUGCUGUUGCACAAUCACGGUGAAGCUGGUACUGUCUGGAUGCGCCAUACACACUUUGCCCCUACCUACCCGUUAAGGAAAUGACACACAAAGCCUUCCUUAAGACUGGGGGGUGGUGAUGACUUCUUCCAUAUGUGGGAUGUGUUAGCAGUGUUGAGACACUGAUUUGAGCUAACCUUGUCUUCAGGUAUGAGCUGAAAUGGGAGUCUGGGUUUGCGUAAUGCGCUGUCAGGGAUCUUAUCCAUUACACUCAAGGUUUUGGUGAGGAACUCAAGAAAUCAGCCUGAAUAAUGGAAAAGGCAUUUGAUCGGCUGCUCUCAUGAUGUGUCUGCCAUUGAAACCACACUCUGGAGAGGAGUCAGAGGCUGGACCUCCACUGCUGUGUUUGAAUCUGAAGAUGGAAAUGGAGGGUGCUGCAGAGCUGAGCUGGUGGACUCGGACUGUGAGAGAUACAUUACCCUUGCAGCAGAGGAAGCAUUGUGGCAGAAGAAGCAAGAGGCCCUGUCACCUUCAUCUGCUUACAGGAUAAGGUCACAUUCUGCUCUUUUUUUGCACCAGUCUAACCACUGAAGACACUGGAUGUGGGCUUGUGUGUGUUGGGGAAAAUACUACUGUGCUGCAGUUUGCAGCUGGCGCAACGAAUGGAGAUAAAAGCAAAUUCUACAGAGCAUCUGGCUCACUUGGUGAAGUGAGCUUAGAGCCUGGAUGCUUCUGAUACAGCAAGGUGGAAAGUAAAGAACCUAGUCCCAUUUCCAGAGUAGGGAGAGGUUUUGAAAGUAGCAGCUCUGAGGAGGCACACGGACUGUGGCUUCAAAAAGGGCUGUAACUAUGCACGAGCUCCAAUAGUUAUUCUGGUGUGAAUGAGAGCAGAUGAACUCCUGCAUCCGCUCAUAAUGUGAGCAGAGCCAUGCCAUCAGUGCAGGAAGCUGUAUGUGGGCGCAAGUGCGAGUUGAUGUGCUGCUCUAGGCAGUGCUCAUGGGAGGAGAUAAGGUAGACAGCAGAAGGGUUUAGCUCCUUCUCUGCUCUUUGUCUGCUUUGCAAAGGCUAUUGCGAAAGCAGAAGGAGUUUAAAAAUGUCUGGAAUAAUGAUUUGCAAUCUGUCAAACCUGCUCUGUAAGGAGAAGCUGAAGAAACUCAUUCUAUGAAGCUUAAGAAAAGAAAUAUCUUAAAGUAUGACUUGACUUCAGCACAGGCAGGGGGAACGUAUUUCUGAGACUAGUGGGCCCUUUGUCUUUUAUCCAUCACAUACGUAUGAAUUCCAGAGCUAAAAGCUUCUGUGCACCCCUCACCCGUGGAAUUCAGAAAUAAAAGUUGCAAAACAGAAUAUUAUACCAUUCCAAAUACUGUUGUUGGAAGGAAAAGCGCAUGUGGUCUGCUUGUACCUGCAGAAUCCGUGAUGAAGACCGAAAGUUUUCCUCUUCUGGAAACACUGUUCACUGUUUUUUCACAUGAUAGAAUUGGCUUGAAGUGAUUCCACUGUCCCUCAAAGUCUUGUGAAAACAGAAAGCAUACUAUACUAGCAUGAGAAAAGACGAUGCUCACAGAUCUCUAAGAAGCAAAAAAGCAACAGAUAUUCUCUGUGGGAUGAGCUGCUUUUUCACUGCAGCAUUAACACAUGCACUUUGGAGACUCUCAUCUUGGCCAGCAGCUGAGCAUGCUCUUGCAUUAUAUCCAAUGGCUCAGGAGCAAAAGCACUGGCUUUUAUUCAGCACCGUGUUGCUCCAAAAUCAAUGCCAGCUAAGCAUUUUCACUGCUAACAAACUGAACAUCUUCAUGGAUAUUAUUUGGAAUAAAAUGGGAUAGGUGGCACUGGAGGGCUCUGAUGGCCAUGAAUUCUCCAAGCUGUGAGCCCUUCUUUCCUGACAGUCAGAUGAUAGAGAGGACAAAAGUAAUUUUUGCAUGUUUUCAUCCCUGCCAUCUUUCAUGUGGCUCUUAAAUGGCUGAAUGUCAGCAGAAAAACAAUGACUUAGCAAGGACUUUGUGUGGAUAGAUCUAAAGAGCGGGAUUUGCAGGCCACACUGAAAUAAUGUAUUGCAUUUUCAAAUCUUAGUUCAGUGAAAGCUUGGAAAUUAACUGGGCCGGUUGGUAAGUGGCCUUUUCCGUAUUUCAGAGUGAUAGCAGAUACACACAUGCACGCUGUGUGCAAAGGCCCUUGCUGAAAAAUGUAAGGUUGAGCUAAUAUGCCUGACAGGUGCCAGACUGGUAUAGAUGGGAAGUAAAGACUCUCAUCUUCUUCUCAGGAAGAGCGGGGAGGCAGUGGCACAGGCUGCCCAGGGAGGUGGUGGAGUCACCGUCCCUGUAG
ensembl:lncRNA